rnacentral:rRNA from 1 species
ACGAACGCUGGCGGCGUGGAUCAGGCAUGCAAGUCGAACGAUCUCGCAAGAGAUAGUGGCAGAAGGGUUAGUAACGCGUGGGUAAUCUACCUUCGAGUUGGGAAUAACACUCCGAAAGGAGUGCUAAUACCGAAUAAUAUCCCCCAAUUAUUUUGGGUGGAUCAAAGGCAGGGACCGUAAGGCCUGUCGCUUGAUGAUGAGCCCGCGUCCUAUCAGCUAGUUGGUGAGGUAAUGGCUCACCAAGGCUUUUGACGGGUAGCUGGUCUAAGAGGAUGAUCAGCAACACUGGGACUGAGACACUGCCCAGACUUCUACGGAAGGCUGCAGUCGAGAAUCUUUACCAAUGCUCGAAAGAGUGAGUAUGCGACGCCGCGUGUAGGAUGAAGGCCUUCGGGUCGUAAACUACUGUCAGGAGUGAGGAAAACUGCUGUGUUAAUAGCACAGCAAUUGACGUUAACUCCAGAGGAAGCCACGGCUAACUCUGUGCCAGCAGCCGCGGUAAUACAGAGGUGGCAAGCGUUGUUCGGAUUUAUUGGGUGUAAGGGCAGGUAGGUGGCUUUUCAAGUCUGUUGUGAAAUCCCAGGGCUCAACCCUGGAACUGCAAUGGAAACUGUUAAGCUCGAGCAUCAAAGAGGUGAGGGGAAUUCUCGGUGUAAGGGUGAAAUCUGUAGAUAUCGAGAGGAAUACCUAUGGCGAAGGCACCUCACUGGUUGAUUGCUGACGCUGAACUGCGAAAGCUAGGGGAGCAAACAGGAUUAGAUACCCUGGUAGUCCUAGCUGUAAACGAUGUAGAUUAGGUGUUGGGCGGGUCGAUCCGCUCGGUGCCGGCGUUAACACAUUAAAUCUACCACCUGGGGAGUACGGUCGCAAGACUGAAACUCAAAGGAAUUGACGGGGACCCGCACAAGCGGUGGAGCAUGUGGUUUAAUUCGAGGCUACGCGAGAAACCUUACCUGGGCUUGACAUGUUUGAAGUAGUCCUGAUGAAAGUCGGGGCGACCGUAUCCAAUCGGAGUCAUACACAGGUGCUGCAUGGCUGUCGUCAGCUCGUGCUGUGAAGUGUUGGGUUAAGUCCCGCAACGAGCGCAACCAUUGCCCUUAGUUACCAUCGAGUAAAGUCGGGGACUCUAGGGGGACUGCCCGUGAUAAGCGGGAGGAAGGUGGAGAUGACGUCAAGUCAGCAUGGCCCUUAUGUCCAGGGCGACACACGUGCUACAAUGGCCAGUACAAUGGGCUGCAAACCCGCGAGGGCAAGCCAAUCCCAAAAAGCUGGUCUCAGUUCGGAUUGCAGGCUGCAACUCGCCUGCAUGAAGCUGGAAUCGCUAGUAAUGGCACAUCAGCCAUGGUGCCGUGAAUACGUUCCCGGGUCUUGCACUCACCGC